rnacentral:tRNA from 4 species
GUGGCUAUAGCUCAGUUGGUAGAGCCCCGGAUUGUGAUUCCGGUUGUCGAGGGUUCAAAUCCCUUUAGCCACCCCA